rnacentral:rRNA from 1 species
UACGUAGGUGGCAAGCGUUGUCCGGAUUUACUGGGUGUAAAGGGCGUGUAGCCGGGCUGACAAGUCAGAUGUGAAAUCCGGGGGCUCAACCCCCGAACUGCAUUUGAAACUGUUGGUCUUGAGUAUCGGAGAGGCAGGCGGAAUUCCUAGUGUAGCGGUGAAAUGCGUAGAUAUUAGGAGGAACACCAGUGGCGAAGGCGGCUUACUGGACUGUAAAUGACGCUGAGGCUCGAAAGCGUGGGGAGCAAACAGG